CCAGACGGCCGGAUGGCCGCGCCUUGCCGAUGGGGAAACCCGGCGGGGUGAGGAAAGUCCGGGCUCCACGGAAACACGGUGCCGGGUAACACCCGGCGGGGGCGACCCCCGAGAUAGCGCCACAGAAAGCAAACCGCCCGCACCUUGUCGGAGUUCACUCUGGAGACCGCGGGCAAGGGUGAAAGGGUGCGGUAAGAGCGCACCGCGCGCUUGGCAACAGACGCGGCAUGGCAAGCCUCUCCGGGAGCAAGACCGAGUAGGGACG
rnacentral:RNase_P_RNA from 1 species